CACGUAGGGAGCAAGCGUUAUCCGGAUUUACUGGGUGUAAAGGGCGUGUAGGCGGGAAGUCAAGUCAGAUGUGAAAACUAUGGGCUCAACCCAUAGCCUGCAUUUGAAACUGAUUUUCUUGAGUACUGGAGAGGCAGGCGGAAUUCCGUGUGUAGCGGUGGAAUGCGUAGAUAUACGGAGGAACACCAGUGGCGAAGGCGGCCUGCUGGACAGCAACUGACGCUAAGGCGCGAAAGCGUGGGGAGCAAAC
rnacentral:rRNA from 1 species